GACGAACGCUGGCGGCGUGCUUAACACAUGCAAGUCGAACGGAAAGGCCCUGCUUUUGUGGGGUGCUCGAGUGGCGAACGGGUGAGUAACACGUGAGUAUCCUGCCCUUGACUUUGGGAUAACUUCAGGAAACUGGGGCUAAUACCGGAUAGGAGCUCCUGCUGCAUGGUGGGGGUUGGAAAGUUUCGGCGGUUGUGGAUGGACUCGCGGCUUAUCAGCUUGUUGGUGGGGUAGUGGCUUACCAAGGCUUUGACGGGUAGCCGGCCUGAGAGGGGGACCGGCCACAUUGGGACUGCGAUACGGCCCAGACUCCUACGGGAGGCAGCAGUGGGGAAUAUUGCACAAUGGGCGGAAGCCUGAUGCAGCAACGCCGCGUGCGGGAUGACGGCCUUCGGGUUGUAAACCGCUUUCGCCUGUGACGAAGCGUGAGUGACGGUAAUGGGUAAAGAAGCACCGGCUAACUACGUG
rnacentral:rRNA from 1 species